rnacentral:rRNA from 1 species
GACGAACCGUGCGAACGUUGUUCGGAAUCACUGGGCUUAAAGGGCGCGUAGGUGGUCUGUCAAGUCGGGGGUGAAAUCUUUCGGCUCAACCGGAAAACUGCCUUCGAUACUGGCAGACUAGAGGGAGGUAGGGGUUGCGGGAACUACCAGUGGAGCGGUGAAAUACGUUGAUAUUGGUAGGAACGCCGGUGGCGAAAGCGCGCAACUGGAUCUCUUCUGACACUGAGGCGCGAAAGCUAGGGGAGCAAACGGG